rnacentral:rRNA from 1 species
UGAGCAAUCUGCCCUUCUCUUCGGAAUAAGCGUGGGAAACCGCGUCUAAUGCCGAAUACGACCUCCUUUCGCAUGAUCGGAGGUGGAAAGCUCCGGCGGAGAAGGAUGAGCUCGCGGCCUAUCAGCUAGUUGGUGUGGGUAAUGGCUCAUCAAGGCGACGACGGGUAGCCGGCCUGAGAGGGUGACCGGCCACACUGGGACUGAGACACGGCCCAGACUCCUAGGGAGG